rnacentral:tRNA from 1 species
GUCUCCGUGGCGCAUUUGGCUAGCGCGUUCGGCUGUUAACCGAAAGUUUGGAGGUUCGAGCCCUCCCGGAAGCA